CCUACGGGGCGCAGCAGUAGGGAAUAUUGCUCAAUGGGGGAAACCCUGAAGCAGCAACGCCGCGUGGAGGAUGAAGGUUUUCGGAUUGUAAACUCCUUUUGUUAGAGAAGAUAAUGACGGUAUCUAACGAAUAAGCACCGGCUAACUCCGUGCCAACAGCCGCGGUAAUACGGAGGGUGCAAGCGUUACUCGGAAUCACUGGGCGUAAAGAGAUCGUAGGCGGGAUAUCCAGUCAGAUGUGAAAUCCUAUGGCGUAACCAGAGAACUACAUUUGAAACUGUUAUUCUAGAGUAUGGGAGAGGUAGGUGGAAUGCUUGGUGUAGGGGUAAAAUCCGUAGAGAUCAAGAGGAAUACUCAUUGCGAAGGCGACCUGCUAGAACAUAACUGACGCUGAUGCGCGAAAGCGUGGGUAGCAAACAGGAUUAGAUACCCGUGUAGUC
rnacentral:rRNA from 1 species